rnacentral:lncRNA from 1 species
UGAAUGAGAUUUAGGAAGUCGUUCCAAAUCACAUUCAAGGUAAUCAUAUAAGCAGACGAAUCACAUUGGAUAGUAGACAUGAAUAAAUAAACUAUCAAACCAAACAAUGUGGUCAAGAGUAUUGUAUUAGAGAAAGACCGUAUUGCAUUUGUAGUCCUAAACUGAAUAGGUUCUCCACCUCUUCUGAUUAGCUUGGUUAACCAUGAUAUGCUGCUAGGUGUCACUCAUGGUUUGUGGAAGCCCUAAACGUGUAUAAUCACUAAAGGGAGUGUUGGAAGUAUGCCCACAAAGCCACUCAUUUGAUGUAAUAGCUUUUGGAAUACUUAUUGUAUUAAACUUUUAUAUGUUUAAUGAAGGGCAAAGCUUAUUGUUAAUCACUAUUUAUUGUAUCAUGUGUUUAAGCAAUAAGGGAAUCCAAGGGAUGUAUUUGAUCUAAGAGACAAGUGAUCUAAGUGAGUUAGAUUAUCGAGACCAUUCUCUUAUGUUCAUUCCUAAAACGUUCCUAGCCAUAGGAUUGCCAAUUGGGCAUUAACAAUCCGCUAAGGUUAGUAUGUGUUAUGUUGACUCAAACGUGAGUAUGAACUAGUCUCAAGUCAUUUGGUGUUGGACACUAAGACAAACACAUAGGUGCUCGAAAAAGGUAAUCGAGUACACUGAACGACAAUCAAAAGAGAGUUCGAACAUACAUGUCAUGUAUGAACUCUAAAGUUACAAUAUGCAAAGUAGUCCUUUGACCUGAGGCAUCAUAGAUGUCUAAUGAUUAGGUCCUUGAUCUUUGAUCAUGUCAAUGGCAUUCCUUCGGAUUGUCCACGGCAUUGUUGGGGUCAAGCUAUCUAGUCAUGUAGGCAUAUGAAUGCACAACAAGGGAUCUCUAACCUUCCAUGGUGGAGGGAGAAUACUCUAAGAUAUGAUUCUAAAGUCUUUGGCCAAAGCAAAUGAAUAUGACUUAGGAAAUUUGUUCCAAAUCAUAUUCAAAUGAAUCAUAUAGGAAAGUAUCACAUUGGAUAGUAGACAUGAAACAAACUAUCACUUAAACAAUGUGAUUAAGAGUAUUGUAUUAGAGAAGGGCCGUAUUGCAUUGUAGUUGUAACUGGAUAGGUUCUCCAACCAAUUCUACUUAGCUUGGGUAACCAUGAUAUGCUGCUAGGUGUCACUCAUGGUUUGUGGAAGCCUUGAAGAUUAGCAAACACUAAUCUUAAGGGAGAAUUGAAAUGUGGUUUCAAUUCACAAUCGAUCGUUAAGAGUAACAUCGCCCACUGCCUCGCUAAUUGGAACCUAAUGGAUCGCACACCACAUAAGGAUGUUAGUGAAGAAAUUAUAUGAAAUGGAUAAGCAAUUAAAUGGUUUAAUUGAAGAAUGGUCAAAGUUAAUUAAUUAGUUAAUUAAUUAUACGAAAGGUUCGUAUUGGGCUUUUAAGUUAGUUUGGGCUUCGGGGUCCAAAAUUGUUUUGGUCCACUAGGCCCAUUAUGUUUAAGUUGUAUGACAACUAAAACAAAUAUGGGCAUUUAGCCCAAUAACAAAAGGAGGCCGGCCAUAGCAAGGGUAGUGGGAAAUUUUGCUUAAUUGCAAGUUUGCCACUAACCUAAGAGAUGAAGUAUAAAGUCAUCUUUAUAGCUUUGUUUCUCAUAAGGGUUUUUCUAAUAGAAAUUGGAUGAAACAUUUUC